GCCACACAGCUCUUUGUCCCGCAGACAUUGGGACAGCACUUCUCAAAGGUCUCGCAUUCCUGCAGGGUAAGAAAACAACCCAAUUACUGGGGACUGAGUUAAGUCUUCUUUAGACACCCAGCAAACAGAGACCCCAGAAACUUUUAAGGUUUCAAGCUCAGUAGACCCAAAUCUGUCACUCGAUCCCAAACUCGGUGUCCCCACCACCACCAAGGGUAAACCCCUCCAGCAUCUCUCAGGAGGUGGCUAAACACGUUGGGAGUUCUGAAGCGCUUCAAGAAAAGCCUCUAGAGAAGGAAAAGGUAUUGCUAUUUCUUAAACACUAACCACAUCAUAAGUCUUUCCUAGAGUCACAUGGACUGCUUGACUACAGAACUAACAACCCCCCUUUGGCACUCCGAAAUGCCUGAGGACAAGCCCUGAGAAACAAGAGCGGAUGGAAAGACUUAUCAUAUGGCUGUAGGCAGUAAUCCUUCUUAUUUUCCACAGAAGUAUGUAAAGUAUUAUUUGAAUUCCCUGAGACUAACAGCCUACUCUUGGAGGUGAAACUGCCAAGGAUUUGUAAUUGUUCACAUUGUAGAGGAAAUAAUAGAAUACCUCAAAAGUAAGGAAAUUCUUGCUCCAAAAAUAAUUUUUCUAUGGUAUUUAGAAAAACAAACCCAAAACAGCUCAUUAUGGCUUCUCUGUCCUAUUUUAGUCCUAUUUUCAAAUGCAGCAUCGCUAUUCUAGUAAUUUAUUACACCCCAUUUUAGCUACAGUCAGCUCUAAAUUGUGGUUAAUUUUAGGAUAAUUUUUGUCUUCUCUACAGAAAAGGUAUUUGAUAUGUGUCCACUGAAUCACAGCGGCUGUUUCAUUAGGGAUUACUUUAAGGGACCAUGAACAUUGCUACCAUGUACAUGACAGGGCACGCUUCCACCAUGUGUUAAACAUCUGCAAGCCCCUGAAAUCCAGCAGAUUUCUCUCUGCACAUUACUAGGUUUCAGAAGCAAAGUUGCAAAACGGUUUCAGCUGAGGUUAAGGAGCAUGCUUUAGCAAAGUCAGACCCCUGCAUGUGAGUUCCCAGGACUCUGCUCAGACAAGGCUAAAGUCACAGGUCAAUUAAAUGCGUGCAUUGUCUGGAUCAAGUCCGGCACGGUGCCGGUGCCUUGCUACAUGGAAUAGAAAGAGACCGUGGUGCAGGCAAGCAAGCUCACCAACGAAACCCACCGCCCGCAACGCAGAGAUAUAGAAAUGUGCAUCACUCACCAGGUCAGCUUCGCACUCCCUCUUGCAAGUGCUCUGCGCAUCUACCCACAGGUUGGGGUUCAUGUCAUUUGGGCAUAUCCCCGCGUGUGAAUACCGUAUGGGAGGUAAAGCUCUCCCUUGCAGAGAGACCUCCAGAAGCAACAGGACACUGCUCUUCCCCAGCAAGAUCCACAUCCACCGAGUGAACGGCGCCAACAACAUCUCAGAACUUCUCCAGGGCAGUGGCAGUGACCGAGCUGGAGGUAGUUCUUGUUUGCCUGGGGUUGCUUGUUUUGGUGAGCCUUAAAUUUUUGAGGAACCCAAAUGCACCUGACUUCUGUAAAAGCUUCAGCAAGCUCCUUUGCUGCCUCUCCUGAUAGUGCAGCUUGGUCUGGACCUCAUUGGAUUAAAGGUCCUAGGAAGUUACCCCCUUAUUUUAAGAGAAACGCUAAUAGUCUGAGCAGAGUUAGCUCUAUUUAUACCCUGCCUCUGUUAACAAGUCAGAAAAAGUAAACUUGAUUUCUUUGACAGGCACACGCUUCCUAUGUCCUGGUGGCAGUCAGACAGAUUUGUUGCAAGAAAAAAAAGCUGGAAAGAGUUUAAAAGGCUGGAACUGGCACGGUGGGACCCCUGCAUGUUUCUGAAUGCAGGGAGGCCUUCUUAACCCCUUUAGACCUAAAGUACUUCCCUAUGCUAAGAAUGGCAUUUACUUCUGAAAGGGUACUUGUCUAAAUAACAGGGACCCACGAUCAGGGGAUUUCCCCACGGCAAGGGGCUACACAAUCACUUGCUAAAGGGAACAAGUAAUAGGAUUGAAGCAAUUAAAGCUAGAAUAUCAUAUUUUAACAAAGGAAGCAGGGAAGAAAUAACUUAUUUAAACUUAGGAUCUGCAAAGCAGAAUGUCUUCAUAACUCCCCCCCCGGGGCUCCUCCGGGCUUUUUUUUUUCUCUGUGGUGUGGAUAUUUCCAGGAUGCUGCUUUUACUGCUGCCCUCCAACCCCACCAGCAAGAUGUUAAAAGUGUCCCUGAAUUCCUCCACAUUUCCCGACAGAGAGAUCCCGUCAUACAGUGCAUUGCUGACCCCUUUAACGGCGACAACAAAAAAAAAUAGUAGAAGUUCAACUCUAUGGAAACCUGCAUAAAGGAAUGUACAGCAUUUUUGCAUUGGGGGGGUUGGAAAUUCAGUCAAGCUGAGUUUGUCGUUCCCUGAUUAUUACAGCAAGGGGCCGAUCCUGUUCGUGCUGAACGCUUGCCAAAAUGCAGAGGCAUACGGCAGAAGCACGAGCUGCUCAGCACCUGGCAGGAUUAGAGCCUCUGGGCUGAAUUCUGGGCUGGCUUGGCUGAAUCCUGCUGGGUGCCCAGGGCCUCCUGGGAGGACCAGAAUGAGGAUGGGUUGCCCAGAGGCACUUUUCAGCCACAGGGGAGCAGAGCAGGGCUCUGAAGAACCAGACGCAGGCUCGUGGCAUAUGAAUGGAGAAGUCUUCUGCUUUGCUACGGCCACCUCCAUCCUGACAGAACUUCUCCAAGGACGGGUCAGUGGUAUCAUUAAAGGAAAGGCCAUCUGAAUGUCUAGAUUUGAUGUCUUGUCACCCCAGUGUUGGGUCAGCGUUUGGCACAGUGGAGAGCAGCAGGGACAUCCCAUAGGAGCCUGGAUGGCUA